UACGAAGGGGGCUAGCGUUGUUCGGAUUUACUGGGCGUAAAGCGCACGUAGGCGGAUCUUUAAGUCAGAGGUGAAAUCCCAAGGCUCAACCUUGGAACUGCCUUUGAUACUGGGGAUCUCGAGUCCGGGAGAGGUGAGUGGAACUGCGAGUGUAGAGGUGAAAUUCGUAGAUAUUCGCAAGAACACCGGUGGCGAAGGCGGCCAACUGGACCAUUACUGACGCUGAGGCGCGAAAGCGUGGGGAGCAAACAGG
rnacentral:rRNA from 1 species